GAUUGAUUGAGAAAAAUAGAUUCCCUCCAUACAGACUGAACCAGGUAUGGUUAAAAGCAAGCCUGCAGGACUAGUGUUUUGACUAUAGAGAGUUGUGGUUGGUUGUUGACCAACAGAAAGCAUGGGAAAAAGACCAAAGAUGAAGGACUCCAUUUUUAUGCUUCUUCUUCAGCUUUACUAGUUAGUGGAGGCAAAGGAUUACCGGCUUCGCGAGACCUUUUCGAUCUACUCAUGGCGUAGCUCUAUACGGGUCCUUGCUUUCUCGAUCAACUAACUUCGUGCUGAAGAAAGACGGGUCCUCGA